UGGGGAAUAUUGGGCAAUGGGCGCAAGCCUGACCCAGCCACGCCGCGUGAGCGAUGAAGGCCUUCGGGUUGUAAAGCUCUGUGGGGAGGGGCGAAAGGCAGAAGUGCUAAUAGUACUCUGUUUGACGGUACCUCCUUAGCAAGCACCGGCUAACUCUGUGCCAGCAGCCGCGGUAAGACAGAGGGUGCAAACGUUGCUCGGAAUUACUGGGCGUAAAGCGCGUGUAGGCGGGAAGAUAAGUCGGGUGUGAAAUCCCUGGGCUCAACCUAGGAACUGCAUCCGAAACUGCCUUUCUGGAGUGAUGGAGAGGAGAGCGGAAUUCCCGGUGUAGAGGUGAAAUUCGUAGAUAUCGGGAGGAACACCAGUGGCGAAGGCGGCUCUCUGGCCAUCAACUGACGCUGAGACGCGAAAGCGUGGGGAGCAAACAGG
rnacentral:rRNA from 1 species